UACAGAGGUCCCAAGCGUUGUUCGGAUUCAUUGGGCGUAAAGGGUGCGUAGGCGGCGCGGUAAGUCGGGUGUGAAAUCUCGGAGCUUAACUCCGAAACUGCAUUCGAUACUGCCGUGCUUGAGGACUGGAGAGGAGACUGGAAUUUACGGUGUAGCGGUGAAAUGCGUAGAUAUCGUAAGGAAGACCAGUGGCGAAGGCGGGUCUCUGGACAGUUCCUGACGCUGAGGCACGAAGGCCAGGGGAACAAACGGG
rnacentral:rRNA from 1 species